rnacentral:pre_miRNA from 1 species
UGUUAAAAAUUUUAAUCAUUUUUACUAUUAAAAACUAGCAUGACUGAUAGAAUAACCAAACUGUUAUGCACAGGAACCGGUUUUUAACAGUAGAAAUAGAUGAAAAUUUUAACA